rnacentral:rRNA from 1 species
UACGUAUGGUGCAAGCGUUAUCCGGAUUUACUGGGCGUAAAGGGAGCGCAGGCGGUGCGCCAAGUCUGAUGUGAAACCCCGGGGCUCAACCCCGGGCAUGCAUUGGAAACUGGCGGGCUGGAGUGCCGGAGAGGUAAGCGGAAUUCCUAGUGUAGCGGUGAAAUGCGUAGAUAUUAGGAGGAACACCAGUGGCGAAGGCGGCUUACUGGACAGUAACUGACGUUGAGGCUCGAAAGCGUGGGGAGCAAACAGG